AACUGCCUUUCUCCGCCCCCGCCUAUUCCUCAACAACCUCAGAUGGCGCCAAUUCUGCUUUUUGCGUCUCAACUCACGCCCUUUUCACUGCCUAUAAAAGACAGACUUUGUUUCCCGCAUGUUAUACACCCAGAUCGCAAAGGGCUGGCUGUGAUCCCCGUGACAGGCACUGGAUGGGAGACGUUGACCUUGGAUCUGAAGUUGGUCAUCUUCAAUAAGGCUCCACAUCUCCUUCAGGCUUUCCGUGCAUCGUCUUCCCACCUUCAAUCAGUCUUCCCAUCUUCAAUCAGGUUCCAUGGCUUCACCAUCCUACACAGCAGUACGAAUUUGUGUUUGUAAAUAUUUCAUGGUACUGUUGAUUGAAUUAAUCUAUUUGGUAGUGAACCCUAUUUUGCAUAAAACCUCUGAUAAUUUCAUAUGGGCAAUUCCUAGGACAUAGUAGAUCCAACAACCUAGUAAUCUGUUAAUCUAAAUGAUAACACGCACUGUUGAAGGAAAAAUUAGAGGCAACUCUGAUUAGGGAGUACCGUAAAUAUGAACAUGUGGCACAUAAGAGAAUCAGAUUGCACUAUGAAUGCCUAUAUACAUACUAAAAUGAUCUAACACCGAACCACAAUUAGAUUAUCGAUGACUAUAUAUAUCACGUGCAGUAGUUAAUUUUUCAUGACAAGGAUGCAGUUUAAAGCACACUGUAAGGAUAAUUUUCCAUAAGUAUCAAUCAUAUUUAUCCAGAAUAUAUAGUGUGCAGUAAGAGCUAAGCAGUAAGCAGAUGAAGAUUAGAAUACCUUGUGAUGUCAUCUGAUGUUGAUAGCAGUACGUGGGGCAAGCGAGACCAGAUUUAAUAGAAAAUUAAAGAUCUUGGCAGCAACCUAGG
rnacentral:lncRNA from 1 species